GGUUAUGGCUCAGUGGUAGAGUGCUCGCCUCGCAUGUGCAAGGCCCUGGGUUCGAUCCUCAGCACCA
rnacentral:tRNA from 1 species